rnacentral:rRNA from 1 species
GACGAACGCUGGCGGCGUGCUUAACACAUGCAAGUCGAACGGAAAGGCCCUGCUUUUGUGGGGUGCUCGAGUGGCGAACGGGUGAGUAGCACGUGAGUAACCUGCCCUUGACUUUGGGAUAACUUCAGGAAACUGGGGCUAAUACCGGAUAGGAGCUCCUGCUGCAUGGUGGGGGUUGGAAAGUUUCGGCGGUUGGGGAUGGACUCGCGGCUUAUCAGCUUGUUGGUGGGGUAGUGGCUUACCAAGGCUUUGACGGGUAGCCGGCCUGAGAGGGUGACCGGCCACAUUGGGACUGAGAUACGGCCCAGACUCCUACGGGAGGCAGCAGUGGGGAAUAUUGCACAAUGGGCGGAAGCCUGAUGCAGCAACGCCGCGUGCGGGAUGACGGCCUUCGGGUUGUAAACCGCUUUCGCCUGUGACGAAGCGUGAGUGACGGUAAUGGGUAAGAAGCACCGGCUAACUACGUG